rnacentral:lncRNA from 1 species
CAUUGACAAUGUCUUUUGAAGUAAUACAACAAUCUCAACCUAUGGAAAAUUAUAUUUAAAAAAUUCAAAAGAGUGUCUGAAUCACAUUUAAACACUUCAGAUUACUUACAAACUUUGCACACAAGUUCAGUUCAACUAUAUAAAUCUAUCCAAAGUCUCAGAACACCAAUUGAAGUAUAAUAACAUCAAUGCCAACUCUUGGUCAAACUUAUGAACUCUUAAGUUCUUCAAAUUACCAACUUUCGACAAAUAGUGUCGAAUUCUUCUAGGAACUUCCAAAAUCAAAUUUGAAUAUACAUUCAAGUUCAAAAUCAACAUACGAAUCUAUCGGAACAAUCAAAACCUGAUUUCGAGUCUGUUUACCCAAAAGUCAAACCUUGGUCAACUCUUCCAACUUAAAGCUUCCAAAUAAAGAGUCAUUCUUCAAAAUCAAUCCCGAACCACUUGAAAACCAAAACCGACGAUACACUCAAGUCAUAAUACAUCUUAUAAAGAUACUCAAAGUCUUAGACCAUUGAAUGGAAUGUUAAAGCUCAAAACGACCGGUUGUAUCAUUACACCGAACAUGCACACGCGUGUAAUAAUAUCAUAUAAACUCGCUCGCUACAUCAAAAUAACAUUAAAUAACAAGAAUCGAUCAUCAAAAAUUAAGAUAUUUAACAUGAAAACUCAUUUUUCAGAAACUUUCACAUAAUGUGCUGAAACGCGCUCGGGUCACCCCGGACCCCAACCUAACGAGCAUACAAGUCCAAAAAGAUCAUACGAAUCUAUGGGAGUCGUCAAAAUACCGAUCCGAAGUCGUUUACCACAAACGUUGAUAGUGGUCAACUCAAGCCUUAUUUUAAGUAAAAAAUCACUUUUUCUUCAAAAUUUUAUGUAAACGCUUUCUGGAAAACGACAUGGACUAUGCACGCAAAUUAAUAAACAUCAAAUGAAGUUAUGAGAGGUCUCGGAACACAGAAAUUAAGACUGGUACGCAAAAUGAUCUAUCGGCCGUUACAUUUUACAAGUGUUUUUAUGAUUUAGCUAAAUUUAUGUUAAACUUUUUGGUGCACCUAUUCAUUAAAAAAAUUACUUAUUUAUUCAAAAUUUGAAUACUCUUCGUGAAAUUUCUGACUAAGCCAUUGAUCGAAAGUACUUGAAUUAUUCAAAGGCAACAGCGAAACAGCUUCUCGAAGUUAAAUGGUGAAAUACAAUAGAAGUCUUCUAUACAGCUAUAUAUAUUUGUCGAAGACCAAAGUUUGACAUUUAACAUACUACUACGAAAACUUUCAUAUUGCAAAUUCUGAGUUGUCCAUCAUUAUUUGCAUACUAGUGGAAUAUUGAUAAACUUGUUUUAAGUAUUUUAAGUGAAAUGAUAGUUUUUACUCACUACUGUUUAACUAUAUCUUACGGUAAAAUAUAUAUCUAAACAUAAUUUUAACUUCGAAUACCUUUUUUUCAGCUUUAACCAAAUGUUGUCCAAACGCCAACCAAAUAUCUUAGUGGGUAUUAUAGUUUCAUUCUGGUCACUUCCUUUUUGAUGAUGGCUAAUAUCUACCAUAACUAUAUGAGAAUGGUGUUGAUCUUUCUAAUUAUUAAACAAAAUUCUAAAAAAGAAGAGUAGUCCUCUUCCUUUUAAUUAUUGCUGAUAUUGCACAACGUACAAGAAUGGGUUCUCUCAUUCUUCAUCUCAUCUUGGAUGCUAAAAGUUAAGGUUUAUGUCCUCCAUGUAUCUUUUUUACGGUAUAAUAAAAUAUUACAGGUAGGGAUCGUGCCAAACAUCCCAUAGCUUUGGUAUUAGCUUGAAUAAAAAAAAUAAAAGUAAGAAUUAAAGUGAUUUUCCCCAGUGUAUUGAUAGAUCAGUAUCCCUUUAUGCUGCAACUAAUGGGUACAGGCACAGUUUAUAUGUUAUAGUGUCAAAGCUUUUCUUUAAUGCACCAAACAAUGUACAGUAAAUAGUCAACGAAUGGACCAUUCAUGCAUCAAAAUCGAGCUAACUUUCUUUGCGGGUGUGUAUGUGGUGUAAAAAACUAGUAACACAAAAGCUAACAUUCCCACUUUCAAGCUUGUAAAGUCAAAAAGAUUCAAAAUCACCAAGACUUCUAACAAUUUCUGAUGGUUCAAAGGUGGUCAAAUCAGUCAUUGAUACUUGCAUUAGGGUAGGUCACUUACAUCACUUUUUAGGAUGCGAUUCUUCCUCGAACUCUGUGUGGACGCAAAUACUUCAUGAUGCACCGAACUGUCCUUCAUGAUGCACCUUUUGGUGUUGCUGAAAGAGCAUGAGAGCCGGCAAUGCGCUUACAUUCAAAUAUUGCGAUAAACACCAAUUUACCAGAUGACUGCAUACUUUCUUGAAACAUUCAUCAUUAAUGAUUUAAAUGUGACUGAGUUAUUACUACUUCAGAAAUCUAGGUUUUUUAGAUUCUUAAUGAACUUUGUUUUGGUUUUUCUUAAUAUGCAGGAAGUAGUCGAAAGCCUACACUUAAUUGUUGUUAUCUCUCCUAUAGGUCUACAUAGCUUAUCUUUUUUCUUAGCAGGAUGUCUACCUCUCACCUUUUUAUGUCAUUCAUUUAGACCACUUCAUUUCCAGUCAGAUGUUUUUCAGUGUAUUCAUUAAUGACUUUCCUCUCUUGUUUUCCCAACUCAAACCUAAGAGCUAUAAGAAUAAUUAAACCUAGGCCUGUUUACAAACAAAUAAAAACAAUCACUAAGUACUCAACAGUACUGCAUCAUAGCAACAAAAAUAUAGUAGCAAAUACUUUUCCAUAUACAACCGCUAGAAGUAGUGUUCUCAGGGUUAACUUUUUCACAUUGAAAGUAUAAUAAUUUUUUGUAUUUAAAGCUACCCAUAGUCAAUGGUGUUAAGAACCUGCAAAAUAAGACAAGUGUAGCAUUUUUAAAACAAGUUAAUUUAUACUGAUAGUGUAAAUGAUUAACUGUGAAUGAAUAUAAGAUUAAUCAAUAGAUCAAUCAGUUGUUACAUGUGCCUUCGAGUUGACGAUAAAACUGCAAAAAGCACCACUUAUGUGAGUCUGUUUCAUAUUCAAGAACAAGCCUAAACUUGAAGCCAAUGCACAUAUAGACUUUACACCAGCAGUACACAAACAAAACUCAUUAGUCUGGCAAUACAGUAAUAAAAUGUAAACUUGAGGAAUAAAAGCUUAUGGUCAUAUAGGUAAUACAAUAAAUCUUGGCGUAACAGGUAACGUCCAGGGAAUCGCCGUGUGACCAGGAAGUCACGUCCAAGCCAUGAAAACAACCUCCUGUAGAAAUAUAAGAUAAGACUGCCUACAAUAAACCCGGAGCUUAAUGCACCGAGUAUCGUAAGAUCUAAAUAAAUACUCACGCGUGCUUCAGUUGACCAAAGUAAAUCAUUAAGACAUGGCAAUGUAAAACAAGUUAGAUAAAAUGGUUAAGUUAUUCAUAAACAUAGCAUCUCGAUAAGAUUAAUCCCAUCUAGUGUGUGUGCGCGCACCUUUGUGCAGAAAAUUAAAAGAAGAAAGGGUAUUGAGCAAAGUAGAAAGCCAGAAAACAGAUCAGAAAAUUUUGCAGAAAAAGACCAAAAAAGCCAUCAUUCUACAAUCAUAACACAAUGAUGAAAAAAAAGUACUGCCUCUCUGUUUCAAUUCAUGUGAACUUGUUUGACUGGGCAUAGAGUUUAAGAAAAAAUGAAUACUUCUGUAAUUUGUGGUCCUAAACAAGUAAAAAAGGGGUCCAGAGUAUUUGUGUGGUUGUAAAAUCUUUUCAUUAAGGGUAGAAUUGGGAGUUUAAGCUAAAUUGUUUUCAUAUUUAGAAAUGAGUCAUUCUUUUUGGAACGGAUCAAAUAAGAAAUAAGUUCACAUAAACUGGAAUGGAGGGAGUAUGUCUUAUUUACUGACAAAAGAAACCUAAGGUUAUGAAACACAGAGUAUGUAAAAAGGUUGUAAUGAUGAAAAAUGAGAAUCAGAACUCAAAGACUAAAGUCAAGAUCCUUAUCAUUACACCAAUCUGCAGAUACAUAACGGACAUACCAAAAUAGGUUAAUAAACAAGUACAAAUUUGUCCCAAAUGUUGAAUAUAGCACUUAUAAGUGACAAACAAAUAAAAUAAAAAGAACUUAAACAUGGGCCUCACCUUAUUUAUAUACCAAAAAAGAUCUUAAUCGCGAUACUAAUAUAUGGCAGCAAUCUCUGAGGGGAAUGAAGCCUGGUCCGACGACGCAAAAAAAUAUGAUCAAAAUUCAUAGGUCUAACAACUAACAAUUAUAGAUCUAUAUAAGAUCUAAAAAAUAUAUAAAACAUAUAUAAUGAUAGAUCUGUGUAAAGAAUUUGAUCAAGAUUAAAGAUUCCUCGAGCCAGACAACAUUCCCCACAAUAGAAAAGCUCCCUUUCUUGAUUGUUAGGAGUUGUAUUUUUGUUGCUUAUUUGUGUAGUUUCCUCUCUGUCUCUUAUCUUUUUAUCCCCCAAGACUUUCGCCUUUCCUUUAGGGGGAGAAGAAAGAGAGAGAGUGUGUGUGUGAUGAUGAAGAGAAUGAUUUGUUG